rnacentral:rRNA from 1 species
ACGACCUACCUCUGACAGGGGGAUAGCCCUGGGAAACUGGGAUUAAUACCGCAUAUAAUUCUGAAUUUAAAAGUUUGGAAUGAAAGUUCAGGCGGUCAGAGAUGGGUGUGCGUCUGAUUAGCUAGUUGGUAAGGUAACGGCUUACCAAGGCGAUGAUCAGUAGGGGGCGUGAGAGCGUGGACCCCCACACGGGUACUGAGACACGGACCCGACUCCUACGGGAGGCAGCAGUAAGGAAUAUUGGACAAUGGCCGCAAGGCUGAUCCAGCCAUCCAGCGUGCAGGAAGAAGGCCCUAUGGGUUGUAAACUGCUUUUGUCAGGGAAUAAACCUGUGGAUUUACUCCGCAGCUGAAGGUACCUGAAGAAUAAGCACCGGCUAACUCCGUGCCAGCAGCCGCGGUAAUACGGAGGGUGCGAGCGUUAUCCGGAAUUACUGGGUUUAAAGGGUGCGUAGGCGGCUAUGUAAGUCAGGAGUGAAAGUUUGCGGCUCAACCGUAAAAUUGCUUUUGAUACUGCAUGGCUAGAAUUAGGAUGAGGUCAGCGGAAUGUGGCAUGUAGCGGUGAAAUGCAUAGAUAUGCCAUAGAACACCAAUUGCGAAGGCAGCUGGCUAGACCUGGAUUGACGCUGAGGCACGAAAGCGUGGGGAGCGAACAGGAUUAGAUACCCUGGUAGUCCACGCCCUAAACGAUGCUUACUCGACGUAUGGCGCUAGACGUUGUGCGUCCAAGGGAAACCGUUAAGUAAGCCACCUGGGGAGUACGACCGCAAGGUUGAAACUCAAAGGAAUUGACGGGGUCCGCACAAGCGGUGGAGCAUGUGGUUUAAUUCGAUG